AGCAGCCGCGGUAAUUCCAGCUCCAAUAGCGUAUAUUAAAGUUGUUGCAGUUAAAAAGCUCGUAGUUGAAUUUCGGGGUCAGUAGAUUGGUCAUGCCACUGGUAUGUACUGGUCUCACUGAUUCCUCCUUCCUGAUGAGCCGUAAUGCCAUUAAUUUGGUGUUGCGAGGAAUUUGGACUGUUACUUUGAAAAAUUAGAGUGUUUAAAGCAAGCUAACGCUUGAAUACAUUAGCAUGGAAUAAUGAAAUAGGACGUUCGAUCCUAUUUUGUUGGUUUCUAGGAUUGACGUAAUGAUUAAUAGGGAUAGUUGGGGGCAUUAGUAUUCAAUUGUCAGAGGUGAAAUUCUUGGAUUUAUUGAAGACUAACUACUGCGAAAGCAUUUGCCAAGGAUGUUUUCAUUAAUCAAGAACGAAAGUUAGGGGAUCGAAGACGAUCAGAUACCGUCGUAGUCUUAACCAUAAACUAUGCCGACUAGGGAUCGGAUGAUGUUAAUUUUUAAUGACUCAUUC
rnacentral:rRNA from 1 species